UACGGAGGGUGCAAGCGUUAUCCGGAUUCACUGGGUUUAAAGGGAGCGUAGGUGGGUCUGUAAGUCCGUGGUGAAAUCUCCGAGCUUAACUUGGAAACUGCCAUGGAUACUAUAGGUCUUGAAUACUGUGGAGGUCAGCGGAAUAUGUCAUGUAGCGGUGAAAUGCUUAGAUAUGACAUAGAACACCAAUUGCGAAGGCAGCUGGCUACACAAAUAUUGACACUGAGGCUCGAAAGCGUGGGGAUCAAACAGG
rnacentral:rRNA from 1 species